CGUGGCCUAGUGGUUAAGAUGUUGGGCUAAUAACCCAAUGGUCGUAGGUUCG
rnacentral:tRNA from 11 species